UUUUAUCUUCGAAAGGUGUUCAACAACAGCAAAUGAUGACUGGAUCUGGGGCUCAACAUCUCAACCCUACUGCAGGUUGGCCACCAAGGCCGGCUGCUGUCCCUCCAUCUGAUGAAGGACCUCAGAGCAAGCAGCAGAAAUCCAAAAUUCCAGUCUUGGAGAAGCAUCUCACAAAUCAACUGAGUUCAGAUGAGCAAAAUUCAAUUAACUUGAAGUUUCAAGAAGCUACAGAAGCCAAUAAGAUGGUAACUACUGUAUAUUUAUUUCUUUGCGGCAUUAUGUUGUGCCUUAAAUAUGCCACAUUCAAUCACUUAAUUUUUUUUAUUAUUGGGGUACAUUAGAAGGUUCUAGCACCUUUGUUGAGGAUUGAACCUCCCUCUGACACAAUCACCGUACUCAAUCUUAAAAGACUUAGGAUAGUGACAAUCAAGCUAUAACCCAACAGUACCACCUCAAUGGAUGGCAUGUUUAUUUGUUCAUCUUUUUCCGCUAACAUAGCUGCUGGUUUUUGUUUUAUUCUGACUGUAAAGCUCACAUAUUUGCAUGUGUUUCCUAAACGGUUUGCUUAUCUAUUGGCUAACUGCGAAACACUACUUUGAUUGGUUUGAAGUUUCAUAGUAAGCAACUCUUUUUGGGGUCAUAUAUGCCAUAUACAUACUGUGUAUGGUCAUCUUUUAAAGUUGAUUAGUUUGAGGAUAUGGUGGAACAUCAGUGUAAGUAUGCUUUCUUUGCUUCAUACCUUUGUACAGUGUAUCUUGAUUUGCAGGCUGGACUUUUGUGAACCCAAGCUGGACUCUUGUGUAUUUAUACAAUAGAAUCUAGGAUACCUAGAAGAGAAAAACCCAUAAAAGCUGCCUUUCUUGCGCUGCAUAUGGUUAAAAAUGUCAUGUCAACACUCCUUUCUUUUAUUUUCCCCUUUUUUAAACAAAUUUUUCGUUUUUCUGCCUGCAAAAGGUUAAAUACAAUAGCAGAUGCGACAAUCGUCUUAACGAGACCACAGAAAGGAUAUCUGCGGAUAAACAUGAGGUAUUAUUCUUUAGCAUUGCAUUUAUCUUUAUUAGACCUAUAAGGUUAACUUUUAUAAUUGGCUCAAUAUAUGAAUUUCAGGUAGAGAUUCUAGCAAAGAAAUAUGAAGAUAAAUAUAAGCAAGUUGGAGAUGUAUCAUCCAAGUUGACAACCGAAGAAGCCACAUUCUGUGACAUACAGG
rnacentral:lncRNA from 1 species